rnacentral:rRNA from 1 species
AGUGAACGCUGGCGGCAGGCCUAACACAUGCAAGUCGAACGGCAGCACAGUAAGAGCUUGCUCUUACGGGUGGCGAGUGGCGUACGGGUGAGGAAUACAUCGGAAUCUACUUUUUCGUGGGGGAUAACGUAGGGAAACUAACGCAAAUAUCGCAUACGACCUACGGGUGAAAGCAGGGGAUCUUCGGACUUUGCGCGAUUGAAUGAGCCCAUGUCGGAUUAGCUAGUUGGUGGGGUAAAGGCCCAGCAACGCGGAGAUCCGUAGCUGGUCUGAGAGGAUGAACACCGACACUGGAACUGAGACACGGUCCAGACUCCUACGGGAGGCAGCGGUGGGGAAUAUUGGACGAUGGGCGCAAGCCUGAUCCAGCCAUACCGGGUGGGUGAAGAAGGCCUGCGGGUGGGAAAACCCUUUUGUUGGGAAAGACAGGCAGCAGGAUAAUACCCGGCUGUUGUGACGGUACCCAAAGAAUAAGCACCGGCUAACUACGUG